CGUACAAGCAGUGGGAGCCCCACCACCAAAGCAUUCUCUGGUGUUGAAGGCCCUGCAAAGCAGCAUCGCGGUGGCGGAGCGUCGUUUGCGACGCCCAACACACAAAACAAGCGGUGAGUGCUUUGGGGUGGGUACCUUUUGUAUAAUGGGUCAGCGACUUAUAUUCUGUAGCAAGGUUAACCGUAUAGGGGAGCCGCAGGGAAACCGAGUCUUAACCGGGCGUUAAGUUGCAGGGUAUAGACCCGAAACCCGGUGAUCUAGCCAUGGGCAGGUUGAAGGUUGGGUAACACUAACUGGAGGACCGAACCGACUAAUGUUGAAAAAUUAGCGGAUGACCUGUGGCUGGGGGUGAAAGGCCAAUCAAACCGGGAGAUAGCUGGUUCUCCCCGAAAGCUAUUUAGGUAGCGCCUCGUGAAUUCAUCUCCGGGGGUAGAGCACUGUUUCGGCUAGGGGGCCAUCCCGGCUUACCAACCCGAUGCAAACUGCGAAUACCGGAGAAUGUUAUCACGGGAGACACACGGCGGGUGCUAACGUCCGUCGUGAAGAGGGAAACAACCCAGACCGCCAGCUAAGGUCCCAAAGUCAUGGUUAAGUGGGAAACGAUGUGGGAAGGCCCAGACAGCCAGGAUGUUGGCUUAGAAGCAGCCAUCAUUUAAAGAAAGCGUAAUAGCUCACUGGUCGAGUCGGCCUGCGCGGAAGAUGUAACGGGGCUAAACCAUGCACCGAAGCUGCGGCAGCGAACGUAUCACUUAAAGCGAUUCAGCGGGUUACGAUUGACGGAGCGAAGCGACGUCAAAGCGUAUACAAAGUCGAGUCGGUUUAAGGAUACGUUCGUUGGGUAGGGGAGCGUUCUGUAAGCCUGCGAAGGUGGCCUGUGAGGGUUGCUGGAGGUAUCAGAAGUGCGAAUGCUGACAUAAGUAACGAUAAAGCGGGUGAAAAGCCCGCUCGCCGGAAGACCAAGGGUUCCUGUCCAACGUUAAUCGGGGCAGGGUGAGUCGACCCCUAAGGCGAGGCCGAAAGGCGUAGUCGAUGGGAAACGGGUUAAUAUUCCCGUACUUGGUGUUACUGCGAAGGGGGGACGGAGAAGGCUAUGUUGGCCGGGCGACGGUUGUCCCGGUUUAAGCGUGUAGGUGUGUGUUCCAGGUAAAUCCGGUUCACUUUAACACUGAGGCGUGACGACGAGGCACUACGGUGCUGAAGCAACAAAUGCCCUGCUUCCAGGAAAAGCCUCUAAGCAUCAGGUAACAUCAAAUCGUACCCCAAACCGACACAGGUGGUCAGGUAGAGAAUACCAAGGCGCUUGAGAGAACUCGGGUGAAGGAACUAGGCAAAAUGGUGCCGUAACUUCGGGAGAAGGCACGCUGACACGUAGGUGAAGUGAUUUACUCAUGGAGCUGAAGUCAGUCGAAGAUACCAGCUGGCUGCAACUGUUUAUUAAAAACACAGCACUGUGCAAACACGAAAGUGGACGUAUACGGUGUGACGCCUGCCCGGUGCCGGAAGGUUAAUUGAUGGGGUCAGCGCAAGCGAAGCUCCUGAUCGAAGCCCCGGUAAACGGCGGCCGUAACUAUAACGGUCCUAAGGUAGCGAAAUUCCUUGUCGGGUAAGUUCCGACCUGCACGAAUGGCGUAAUGAUGGCCAGGCUGUCUCCACCCGAGACUCAGUGAAAUUGAACUCGCUGUGAAGAUGCAGUGUACCCGCGGCAAGACGGAAAGACCCCGUGAACCUUUACUAUAGCUUGACACUGAACAUUGAGCCUUGAUGUGUAGGAUAGGUGGGAGGCUUUGAAGUGUGGACGCCAGUCUGCAUGGAGCCGACCUUGAAAUACCACCCUUUAAUGUUUGAUGUUCUAACGUGGACCCGUAAUCCGGGUUGCGGACAGUGUCUGGUGGGUAGUUUGACUGGGGCGGUCUCCUCCUAAAGAGUAACGGAGGAGCACGAAGGUUGGCUAAUCCUGGUCGGACAUCAGGAGGUUAGUGCAAUGGCAUAAGCCAGCUUGACUGCGAGCGUGACGGCGCGAGCAGGUGCGAAAGCAGGUCAUAGUGAUCCGGUGGUUCUGAAUGGAAGGGCCAUCGCUCAACGGAUAAAAGGUACUCCGGGGAUAACAGGCUGAUACCGCCCAAGAGUUCAUAUCGACGGCGGUGUUUGGCACCUCGAUGUCGGCUCAUCACAUCCUGGGGCUGAAGUAGGUCCCAAGGGUAUGGCUGUUCGCCAUUUAAAGUGGUACGCGAGCUGGGUUUAGAACGUCGUGAGACAGUUCGGUCCCUAUCUGCCGUGGGCGCUGGAGAACUGAGGGGGGCUGCUCCUAGUACGAGAGGACCGGAGUGGACGCAUCACUGGUGUUCGGGUUGUCAUGCCAAUGGCACUGCCCGGUAGCUAAAUGCGGAAGAGAUAAGUGCUGAAAGCAUCUAAGCACGAAACUUGCCCCGAGAUGAGUUCU
rnacentral:rRNA from 1 species